rnacentral:rRNA from 1 species
GGGAGGUUGGCCUAGGGGUGGGUGGGUGGGGAUGUUAGCGAAGGCUAGACGGCGGCUUUGGGAUCUGGGGCGGCGGCGGCGGCGGCUACCCUAGGGGUUGCCACCGGGGGCGCGGGGAGGACGGGCGGCGUCAGGGCCUGCCGCCGCUCCGCCUGCGGUUGCCGCUCGUGCUCGCCGACGUCGUCGACGUCUAGCAGGGGAGGAGGCGGGGGCGGCGGCGGCGGGGGAGGUUCGGCGGGCUCGGCCGCGGCUGCCACCGGUGGGUGUGCGCGUGGUAGCCGUAGUAGGUGGGCGGCGGGCUGUAGGCGCAGUAGUAGCUCUUCUGCCGGUGGAAGCAGCGGUUCUUGCCCGGGCUCAAGCUCGCGGCGUAGCAGCGGGUGUUGGUCCCGUUGCGGUUCAAGUUGAAGGAGGUCGGGAGGCUGGGGAUGGUGCGCAUGAUGGUCGUGGCGCAGAGGCUCUAGCGGCUGCGCGGCGGGCGGGGGCUGCGGCGGCGGCGGCGGCUGGGGCUGCGGGAGGGGAGGCUGCUGAGGCGGCGGCUGCCGCGGGGGCGGCUGGUGAGGCGCGGGAAGGCGCAGCCGGGCGGGCGGUUCCACGAGCACGGCGGGUUCCGGCUCGAGAUGUGGCACGCGGAGGGGCUCCCGUAGUGGUGGCUCCUCCACCUGUAGCAGUUCGAGUGCCGCGUCAAGCAGCGGGCGUUGCCGUUCUGGAAGGAGCGGUCGGAGCGCAGGGCCCUCUCGUGGUUGGGCGUCAAGUUGAAGGAGGCGGGGUGGGUGUCGUACAAGGGGAAGAAGUGGCGCGAGCGGCUGUAGAUGAGCUCCCACUACUCCGGGCUGCUCCCGCACCGGUGGGACUACUCCCUCGAGUUCCUCCCCUGGUUCCUGGAGUGGUGCCACGACCUCGCGACGGAGUUGGCCGAGCUCACCCUGGCCAGCGUCCUCGUCCGGUUCGUCGUCCGCCUCCUACUCCAGCUCUACCUCUCCUACGUCUACAGGUACUAACUAACCGUACUAAAGCAGCAACAGCUCUGAUAACUCAAACUACUACUACUCAAGCUCCCGGAGGGACACGGCGGAUGCGACCUUCUCAACUUCGCGGCCUUCUCCUACCUCUGUAACCCUCUCCUCCUUGGGUACCUCAACCGACUUGGUCGGUUCCUACAACUCUACCUCUACCUACUCCUCCUCUACGUUGAACAGCUCCUUCCUUACUUCCGUCGUUCCGAGCUACUCUUACUACCUCCUCGUGUUCAAUUCCACCGGUCAUUACUACUACUCGGCGGAUACUCUUAACAGUUUUUGAUAUUCUCCGGACUCCUCUCCUAGGGACGCCUCUCCCUGGGCUGGUUCCAACAACAGAGUGGUUAUUGGCCCCUCGAGUAAGGCUAGUCGCUCUACCUCCUUGUGUACGCGUAGAGCGAGUAACUGGGGUUCAUGUUCCUUGUCUUUCUUUCUUACGACCGGUUCUAAUUCCUUUGGUGAGAACGAGGACUACUACUCUAGAGGGCAUUGUAAUAACCAGAACGUGCAUGUUCCGGUCUAUAAAAACCUUGGUGGCUCCUUCUCCAAAGAUUACGGCAGUUCCGUCUUUAACUUUUCUUUUUCCUACUCGUCGGUUUCGUCCAAUAAACCCUACCAGUAAGACCCUCGUAGCCAACCUGUCGGUGAGUCCGUUACAGACAGCCACCUCUUCUUGUCCCACUACGGAGUUUACGAGGACCAGGUCGAGGUGAAGGGGCCGGACCGUACGACAACGGGGCCGGAGGGGUUGGUGAAAGGAACCAGUUACAAGGGGCUAAAUGUGGGUUAGGUUACGGAAUAGUACAGGUUGGGGGGGUAGUAUACGUUCAUCAAGGUGGUGUAUACUACAGGUUGUACGUGGUUGGAGACGGUGGUCCAGUUGUUGUGUACUAAUCCUACAGUCCAGGAUACCCAGUAUACGGUUCAUUAUAGGGAGGUGGCGGAGGUCCGGUAUUAUGAGUCAAGUACGGACCAGGUGGUGCCAAGCGAUACGGGGGAGGGGGCGUGUACGUCUUGUACGGUUGGUACCAGUUGGGGUAGCCUUAAGGGGUCGGAGGUGGUGGAAACGGAGGUGUUGGUGGACGCCUCCUCGUCGGUGGAGAUGGACUCCUUGGUCUUGGAUUCUCCGUCUCUUGUCUACUACGUAGAGACUAGGGUCGACUCGUCAAGGAACGGGUCGUAGGCCCGGGACGAGCGUAGAGUCAAAGACACGGGUUGGAACUACUUCCUUUGAACGCUCCGGUUCAAAACCUCUAGAGACAGGUUAGUGAGAGACUGUGUCAGCCGUCAGAAUUCCUCGUCUAACGACCUCUCGACGUCGAAGGACGAUUAUUCGUCUUCGACUCACACUCCUGAUCAAAGGAGUUCCUGUUAGAAAGAGAACGAAUAAUGUUACAACCGGGACCCCACCGGUAGUUAGAUCGAGACUCCCUCGCACCACCCUCUUUCUUUACUCGAAAAGAAUAGAGUCAAAUGAGUGUCCUGUUACGAAUGUUGGUUCGAAGUCACCGAUAGUACCUCUAAUAAAAACAACCAACGACGGAAGACCUAAGAACAUAAUACACAAAAUAUUCAGGUCGUGAUACUAAACGUAACAUCAAAAGCCUGAACAGAUACGAAGAAUUAUACCGAUGUAUAACAACCUCUACAAAUAGGAAAAAUAAUGAAAACACAAUGAGUUCUUUCGAUUGCUACGGAUGGACGGAUGAACUAUCACGAGGUCUCAAGUCCACGGGCGUAACCGAGAUGGCAAACGGAAGAUUCCACAAGACUAUAGAACUUUUACGUGUUACGAAAAGGGGUACAACCUUACAAGACCCUACAAGAGAAUAUACAUAGAAAACACAAUAACAUCUACGAAGACGUGACGUAGUCAUUUCCAUGACAGAGAAGUUCACGAAUAAUACUUUCCAGACACCUUUCGGAUAAUAACGUCAAGAUUAAUUUAAUCUCAAUACCCACUACCGACUACAAGUUUUAGAACAACUGUCUUAUCGUACCGUAGAUAGUCUCUAGUGACGACGACCUUAGAACAUUGUUCAUAUCAUCACGUAACGAAUAACACUUGAAUUAAUACGUACGUCACUCAUCCCUACUCAUACCAACGAGAACGACGAUUUUUCCGUCCGACACGGGAAACAACACCAACGAUCGCCAGUAUUCAACUAAAGACAUCCAAUACGUAAAUAAAAGUACAAAUAACGCUACAAAAGUAGGAUUCACUGAUUUUUUUAGUGUUAUCUACGAAAGGUCAAUAAGACUUCCACCGUACACAAACCAGUUGUAUCCGUAUAUACCAACAAACCCAUGACUAUUACUAACACACAAAAAAAGACAACAAUUGGCUGAACAAGGUAACAGUUAUCAUUUACUUCCCGUUUUCAUCCGUGUUUAUUCAAUACCACGCUGUGACACAAACGGUACAGUGUCUUCACAGUAAUACUAACACAGAGUUGGUUUGUAAAAGUGAAGUACUUCGGAAAGGGUUGGGAUUAUUUAUAGACUCAACCACCAGCAGACAAGCGGGGAAUGGGUAGGGGCAAACUUGAAGUUUGGAUUGUUGGAAAAGUACGGUUUCGAGUAGCUUAGAACUCUCGCUUCCGAUGGUCCCAAGCAGGUCAGAUAUCUGGAACGUGGUUAAAUGGAGCGUAAAUUAUCGUCAAGGAAACAAGUAUCAGAUAUUAACCAUUUACUUGUGCGGUCUCACUUAUAGUAAACUCAUUUGAUACAAGAUAUACCCAAAAAAAAAACGAAACCAUCACAUCAUGAGGGGGGCAAGGAUUUAUAAACAGAAAGAUCUAUAAAGUUGUUCACUGAUGUAUGCCUUGUUUUACUCACUUAGAUGUGAAAUUUUAUAUAGAUAUAUGUAGGCAUACACCAUCAGGUAAACUUUAGAGAUUUUUCUGUUUAUAAAUCCUUGCCUCCCUCAUGUACGUAGAAUUGAUCAAGUUUAUAUUUUACACAACACUUGAACCAGUAAAUGAUAACAGGUGUUUAUAAGACUAGUAGAGUCAACAGUCCUACGCUGAAACUAUGAACGUCCAAAAUAUCAGACGCAACACGUAACGCGAAUAGAGUUUCACAUACCACGCUCGUAUUCUAAUCCGUGUUGACCUCUUUCUAAUCUGUGUAGUACAAACGAGAAGAAAAAAGAUCAAAUUAAUUACGUAACUUCUCUUUCUAAAGAAUCGUAUAGUUGAUCUAAUCUGUUUUGACCUAAAACAUAAGAGGUCAACAACAAUUGAUUCAGGACGAGACCACUCAUUAUUAUUGGGACACCCGAAAUACUGACGGCUCUAAAGUCAAUUUAGUGGUCAUCUUCCGAAAUACGGAACGCUCGAUACUCAUAGGGAAAAUAAGUAUUACAUCUACGAAUAUUUCUCUUUAUCAACAAAUGAUAAACUAAAAAGUGUGUAG